UAAAUAAUGUCAUGACUAUAGAUAUUUGUUAGGGUUAUUAUGGCUGAUACGACUGUGGUCAUAGAUCGUACCAUGGUUUGGCAAGUUGGAAAUGAGCCUGAACAAAUUGUCAUAUCUAAAUUUUGAUCUAGUCAUUUCACUUGGGUAGUUGGAAAUUUGUAUCUACCCUCAGAGACGGAAGUUGUAACGACUUUGCAAAGCAUGACACAAAAAUAUGAGCAUUUC
rnacentral:lncRNA from 1 species